AUGUCAUUUAAUUGUUUACAGCAAUCACACUAUAUCACUUCUCUUCAACAAAACCAUAUCAACGUUCAAACCAACAUACAAAUCAUAAAUUCGAAAGUAAUAUUCGAUCACGGAUACAUAUAUAGAGUCACACAAACUUCAUACCAUAUCAAAAGUACAUAUAAAUUUAAAAUGAAACACUUACCAGAAAAGACGCAAGGGAAGAAACGAAGAUGUCGGAAACACAAACACACGCACAACAACACAACAGCAGCAACGCAACCGGUAACGCAAUCGACGGCGCACAACAACAAGACCGCACCGACGCACAGUUCUUCAUUUUUAGGUUUUGUUCGUGGUACCCUUCACACACAAUGA